rnacentral:lncRNA from 1 species
AUAUUUCAGCUGAUAAUUCUCCUAAUAUGUAGGCAGAGUAUUGUAUUAUUCCUCCAUGUUUAUUUUUCAAUCUAUUCUUUACUUUUUCAGCAAAUAAGUAUGGUAGACCAGCUAUAAAUUUUUCUUUCCAAUGAUCUAAAUGGCUAUCCUCUCUGGUUAAGAGUCUAGAAAAGAAUACGUCUUUGUACCAUUUAUAAUGGGAUAAUGUUGGGCAUUUUAAAUUUGAAAGUAAAU